UUGGGACAGGGCGUCAUAGAGGGUGAGAACCCCGUAUGACUUUUCUCGCAACCUAUGUGAAUGGCCUUCUAAGAGUCGAGUUGUUUGGGAAUGCAGCUCUAAUUGGGUGGUAAAUUCCAUCUAAAGCUAAAUACUGGCAAGAGGCCGAUAGCGCACAAGUAGAGUGAUCGAAAGGUGAAAAGCACUCCGGAAGGAGAGUUAAACAGCACGUGAAAUUGUUGAAAGGGAAGCACUUGAGAGCAGUACUGGGACUUUGUUCAUCAACCUUCAUUUUUGUUGGUGCACUGGGCUUUGUUCUGGCCAGCAUCAUUUUUGACAGUGGUAUAAUGGCUUAGGAAAUGUGGCUUUCUUCGGAAAGUGUUAUAGACCUAGGUCGAUACCAUUAGUUGGGAAUGAGGUCCGCGCUUCGGCUAGGAUGCUGGCAUAAUGAUCUUAAGUGACCCGUCUUGAAACACGGACCAAGGAGUCUAACAUCUAUGCGAGUGUUAGGGUGUUAAACCCUUACGCAAAAUUAACGUGAACGGAGGUGAGAGCCGCUUGACGGUGCAUCAUCGACCGAUCCUGAUGUCUUCGGAUGGAUUUGAGUAAGAGCAUAGCUGUUGGGA
rnacentral:rRNA from 1 species